GACGAACGCUGGCGGCGUGCUUAACACAUGCAAGUGGUGCGACGAACCAGGCUUCGGCCUGGGGCGAAGCCGCGAACGGGUGAGUAACACGUGGGCAAUCUGCCCCUUUGAUCGGGACAACCCGGGGAAACCCGGGCUAAUACCGAAUGAGGUGGCGACUCAUGAGAGUUGUCACGAAAGGAAGCUUCGGCCUCCGCGAAGGGAUGAGCCCGCGGCCCAUUAGCUUGUUGGUGGGGUAAUGGCCUACCAAGGCAACGAUGGGUAGCUGGUCUGAGAGGACGAUCGGCCACGCUGGGACUGAGACACGGCCCAGACUCCUACGGGAGGCUGCAGUGGGGAAUCUUGCGCAAGGAGCGACAGCUUGACGCAGCAACGCCGCGUGAGGGAAGAAGGCUUUCGGGUCGUAAACCUCUCAGUUAGGACGAAGCUUUAUUGGUUAAUAACCAAUUGGAGUGACGGUACUCUCAGAAGAAGCCCCGGCUAACUACGUGCCAGCCGCCGCCGUAA
rnacentral:rRNA from 1 species